AGCAAUGCUGCACUGGUAAGGUAUGGAUCCGAAACCUCAUGAAGGGUAACAAAGGCUCUCCAUACCCUACUUCGACUCAAUACGUCCCCGGCUUGGGUAUACGGGGAAACCCAACCCCUUGGGAAGAUGGGUGAUAUGGCUAAAUUGAGCGGA
rnacentral:ribozyme from 1 species